CCGUCGAUAGCUCAGCUGGUAGAGCGGAGGACUGUAGAGUUGCAGCAAUGCUUAUGUCGCUGGUUCGAAACCGGUUCGACGGA
rnacentral:tRNA from 1 species